rnacentral:rRNA from 1 species
UACGUAGGGUGCAAGCGUUAUCCGGAAUUAUUGGGCGUAAAGAGCUCGUAGGCGGUUUGUCGCGUCUGCCGUGAAAGUCCGGGGCUCAACUCCGGAUCUGCGGUGGGUACGGGCAGACUAGAGUGCAGUAGGGGAGACUGGAAUUCCUGGUGUAGCGGUGAAAUGCGCAGAUAUCAGGAGGAACACCGGUGGCGAAGGCGGUGGUCUGGGCCGGCACUGACGCUGAGGAGCGAAAGCGUGGGUAGCAAACAGG